rnacentral:lncRNA from 1 species
UACACAAAAGUAUCUUGUGCGUGUAGUCCUACCCUUGCCUCUAUAAUCUGAUGAACCUGGGAAUCCUUACGCUUCUGAUCAGAACUAGCUCACAGCUGUAGGCUGUACCAGCCUUGAGUGAACUGCCUCCCAUGACAGAGGUUGUAUCUACUUUCACCCAGGUAGAGCCUCAUGGUGUGGAUGUUUCUGUACAACAGUCUCUGGCACAGACGGCUGGUCCAGGACAAUGUGUUUUGGUUUAGAAGUGCCAGCCCAUGACCCAGGAGGCUUGAGAGGGAUCCUCUGAGCUGCCAGGAUGGGUACAGGGAAGGCACAGGUAGGGGUGGCAGCUCAGUCUUGAGGCCUCUGCACCCAGGUCCCCAGGGGGAGUGGCUACUGUCCCUCAAUCCUCACAUGAAAGGCUGGAGGCCGUGAGGGCAGAGGUGGCUCACCUCAGGCCACUCAGCUGGACCAGGGGCCCCAAGCACAGGCUGGCAGGCCUGGGCCCUGAGCUGCAGCAUGGAACGGCCCUGUCACCCCAGCUGUCAGG